rnacentral:rRNA from 1 species
UACGGGGGGGCAAGCGUUGUUCGGAAUUACUGGGCGUAAAGGGCUCGUAGGUGGCCAACUAAGUCAGACGUGAAAUCCCUCGGCUUAACCGGGGAACUGCGUCUGAUACUGGAUGGCUUGAGUUUGGGAGAGGGAGUGCGGAAUUCCAGGUGUAGCGGUGAAAUGCGUAGAUAUCGAGAGGAACACCUGCGGCGAAGGCGGGUUGCUGGGCUGACACUGACGCUGAAGUGCGAAAGCUAGGGGAGCGAACGGG